rnacentral:tRNA from 1 species
CGCCCCAUCCGGGCGGCGGGCGAGAGCCCAGGGGCUCCUUCAGGGAGCCCUUUUUUAUUGCCUGUAAUACCCAGCGUCGUUCAAUCCUUGCGCGGCAA